UACGAAGGGUGCAAGCGUUAUCCGGAUUCACUGGGUUUAAAGGGUGCGUAGGUGGGCAGUUAAGUCAGUGGUGAAAUCUCCGGGCUUAACCCGGAAACUGCCAUUGAUACUAUCUGUCUUGAAUACCGUGGAGGUGAGCGGAAUAUGUCAUGUAGCGGUGAAAUGCUUAGAUAUGACAUAGAACACCAAUUGCGAAGGCAGCUCACUACACGAAUAUUGACACUGAGGCACGAAAGCGUGGGGAUCAAACAGG
rnacentral:rRNA from 1 species